rnacentral:rRNA from 1 species
UACGUAGGGGGCUAGCGUUGUCCGGAAUCAUUGGGCGUAAAGCGUGCGUAGACGGUUGCGUAAGUCAGAUGUGAAAGCCCCGGGCUCCAACCGUGGGAAUUGCAUUUGAAGUACUGCGUAGCUAGGGUGCGGAAGAGGGAAGCGGAAUUUCCGGUGUAGCGGUGAAAUGCGUAGAUAUCGGAAGGAACACCAGUGGCGAAAGCGGCUUCCUGGUCCAGCACCGACGUUCAGGCACGAAAGCGUGGGGAGCAAACAGGG